UUGCAGGCUGCAACUCGCCUGCAUGAAGUUGGAGUUGCUAGUAAUCGCGGAUCAGCAAGCCGCGGUGAAUACGUUCCCGGGCCUUGUACACACCGCCCGUCACACCAUGAGAGUCGGGAACACCCGAAGUCCGUAGUCUAACCGCAAGGGGGGCGCGGCCGAAGGUGGGUCCGGUAAUUGGGGUGAAGUCGUAACAAGGUACC
rnacentral:rRNA from 1 species